GGUUUAAUUACCCAAGUUUGAGGUUUAAUCAUCCAAGUUGUGUGAAAACAAUUCAAGAAGAAUUUCAAGAACUCCUAGUUAUUAUCGGGACAA
rnacentral:sRNA from 1 species